rnacentral:rRNA from 1 species
GAUGAACGCUGGCGGCGUGCCUAAUACAUGCAAGUCGAGCGAACGGACGAGAAGCUUGCUUCUCUGAUGUUAGCGGCGGACGGGUGAGUAACACGUGGAUAACCUACCUAUAAGACUGGGAUAACUUCGGGAAACCGUAGCUAAUACCGGGUAAUAUUUUGAACCGCAUGGUUCAAAAGUGAAAGACGGUCUUGCUGUCACUUAUAGAUGGAUCCGCGCUGCAUUAGCUAGUUGGUAAGGUAACGGCUUACCAAGGCAACGAUGCAUAGCCGACCUGAGAGGGUGAUCGGCCACACUGGAACUGAGACACGGUCCAGACUCCUACGGGAGGCAGCAGUAGGGAAUCUUCCGCAAUGGGCGAAAGCCUGACGGAGCAACGCCGCGUGAGUGAUGAAGGUCUUCGGAUCGUAAAACUCUGUUAUUAGGGAAGAACAUAUGUGUAAGUAACUGUGCACAUCUUGACGGUACCUAAUCAGAAAGCCACGGCUAACUACGUG